UACGGAGGGUGCAAGCAUUAAUCGGAAUUAUUGGGCGUAAAGGGCGCGUAGGCGGGUAUAUAAGUCAGAUGUGAAAUUCCGGGGCUCAAUCUCGGAGCGGCAUUUGAAACUGUAAAUCUCGAGGAUUGGCGGAGAGAAUGGAAUUCCACGUGUAGCGGUGAAAUGCGUAGAUAUGUGGAAGAACACCAGUGGCGAAAGCGGUUCUCUAGCUUAUACCUGACGCUGAGGCGCGAGAGCAAGGGGAGCAAACAGG
rnacentral:rRNA from 1 species